UGAAGUUAUAAGUUUAAUUAAAUUAAUUAAACCUUAAUUAAUUCUAAUGUUCUCCUAAUUCACAUGAUUAUUGUUUCCAACUAUCUUUCACGCAAUUUUUAGUGUUGGUUUCUAUAGAAUGACCUCCAGAACCUUCGAUUCCUUUCUCGAUUUCCUCUCCUCGAUUUUGGCUCAACAAAAGGAUUUGUGAUCCUUCACUAUAGCAAAGAGAUGAGCAGCACAGAGCAGCCGCACGAACUGGAUGACCCGCUGAAUACCGCAUACGACAUUUCAACCUUUGGGAACGAAAACAAAAUCUAGCGCCGAAAUUAUGUCGGAAGUGUUAAACUUGGUUUGCAAGCUUCCAUAAGGGCUUUAACACAAUUAGCAAAGGGGAAGAGAGAUUUGAGGUGUUACGAAGAGUUGAGAAAAUCUGUGGUUUCGAAAAGGCAAAUUCAUGUCGAGAAACCCCUUUGAGCUAUAUGAUGGCAUUAAAGCGAGUUCGAGACGAGCAGAAAGAAACUCAUCGUAGGGAUGAUCUGUCAAUCCAGACAUUUUUUUAUUUCUCUGGUUUGAUAAGGAGCUUCAACCAUGCUUCCAUGCUGAUUCAAAGUUGAUUUAUUAUUCCCAUCAUUUUCCCCAGCAGAAGUCUCCUAUCGUACUUUAAUUUUCACCUCCCGACACCACUACCAGGCCUCAUUGUCUGCAGCUGGCCCGCCUAAAAGUAACAAGAAAGACGCG